UUACCCCUGAAUUAUCUAUCUGCCUGUCAGCCUGCCUCGAUAUCCGAUCGAUUGCUGAUGGAAUCAAGAAUGCUAGAUAUCUGCCUACCUACCUACCUCCCUACCUUCCAACCAACAUGGCUGCUCAAUAUCCAAUCAAUCUCUAUGAGAAUAAACAUCAUCGUCUAGCUACCCGCCUACCUGGCAAUGAUGGCUUACUAGAUGACUAUCUGACUGCCUACCUGCCGAUUGAUCUGCUCACCUGCUUGAAUGAAUGAUAUCUAGCGAUGAUAUCAAUAUGACGUCGUACUUCUGUUCCGUCCUGCCCAGCUGCAUGUUUCAUGAAUCUCCUGCUAUACAAUGUUGUGCCUGAGAUGUCCACCCUUUGAAGCAAUUAAAGAUGCCUUCCAUUCCCCGGGACUUAGAGGUUCGUUUGCCCACCCCCUGAAGGGGGUUGCUAGGGGCAGGCUGCCCCUAGUAUAAGUGAGACGGUGCUUAGAUUUCGAGAAGUGAGAUAACUAUAAUAGUUAUAAAAUCUCUAAUAUAUAAGCGGUUAUAAAAUGUUAUUUCUGAUACUAGUUCAAUCAUAUAAGGUAAGAAGUGGAUAUAAUCUGCAUCAAUUUAAUCAUCAC
rnacentral:sRNA from 1 species